CCGCGGGGUCCCGCCAUCCCCGCUCCGACUCGGCGGCGGCUCGGCGGAAGGCUCCGGUGGCGGCAUAGGCGGCCGGAGGAGGAGAGGCGAAGAGCUCUGCACCGUCCGAGCGGUCGUGCAACCUAAGAAGCUUCUUCAGCUGCAUUCUUGAGCUGGGGCUGGGAGAAGCCGGGUGGGCAGCGAGAGACAGCCAUCCCUCUGGACACCAGCUGACUGCGGAGAAAUCAGCCUGCAUCCCUGUCAUUUCCCUCGGCUAUCAGACCAAGGAACUGCCCCGGAGAACGGGAGGUAACCGUGCACCUCUGAGCUCGUCCUGUUCUGCAAUCCCGCGUGUUAUUCGGCGGCGGGGCCCGGCUGCCGGGCCGCAGGUGAUGCGGGGAAGGCGGCGGAGCCCCGUCGGGUUCCGGGCCCCGCAGGAGCGUGAACGGCCGCCGGCGGAACAUGUGCGCUGCACGCAUCGGCACUAUCUUCUCUUGACAAAGUGGAUGUGUGAUUAAUGCCGACCGACGGCUCCCCCCCGUCCUGCUCCCCCUCCUCUUUUCUCCUCCCUUCUCGCCCCCUCCUCCCAAGGUCCUUCGCCGGUUUCAAUAAAAGGCAGGAUCUAAGCUUUCUC